GCUGGGUGUGGUGGCAUAUGCCUGUAGGCACAGCUACUUGGGAGGCUGAGGUGGGAGGAUCACUUGAGCCCAGGAGUUCGGGGCUGUAGUGCACUAUGCCGAUUGGAUGUCUGCACUAAGUUUGGCAUCAAUAUGGUGACCUCCUAGGAGCGGGGGGCCACCAGGUUGCCUAAGAAGGGGUGAACCGGCCCAGGCCGGAAACAGAGCAGGUCAAAACUCCCGUGCUGAUCAGUAGUGGGAUCGCGCCUGUGAAUAGCCACUGCACUACAGCCUGGGCAACAUAGCGAGACCCUGUCUCU
rnacentral:SRP_RNA from 1 species